UUAUCGAUUAUGUAAAUGGCAGAUCUCCAUCCUCCAGUGGGCCACGUUUCUGCCGUUUGGUCCACCUGACAUCGAUCCUCAAGAAUACUUAGAAGAGGAGAUGUUUGGGAGCCAUCCAUUUCCUCAACUUGUUAUGAAAGUGAUUCAUCAAUUUAAAUGAUUCUUGUACUGAUUGUGUGGAUCUCCAGUGUAUUUAAGCUCCUUCAGUUUUCUGUAUCUAACCUCUUGCUUCUGAUCUAUACUUCAUGCAAUCACCAGAAGAGUGAUGCUAUAAACCAAAGUUUAAAAACUUAGACACUUGAUUUGACUCUAUGUUCACCCGAUUUGGGAAACAAAAUAGUGUUUCUCAGGAAACCUUAUUUCUAGGAAGCUGCCGUAAAAAGGAUAUGCAGUUUUGUUGUUUGAAAAAAAGAAGAAGAAGCAUUUACUAAUGGUUAUCGGCAUGUGUUAAUACAUUUCACAUGUAUGGGACGGUUGCACAUGUGGCAUACACAACAUAUAUGGGGCGCUUGAAAUUGAAUUGUGGCACAUGUGAGGUAUCUCAUGGUUGAAGUUCUGAUUAUUAUUCAAAUUCAUGGCUUGGUAUUAAUUUCCAUAUCAGUUGUUUCUUGUUUAGAUAUAAUCAGAAUCCGUCUUAGAUAAUAACAGAAUGAUGUUUUGCCAGCUCAUUCCUUCAGUUUGUACCACUACAUCUUCCUCUAGGUGACACAUCAACAGAACAUUGCCAGACAUGAAAAGAAAAUAUGGAUGUAGCUUGCAUACUCUUAAGUUCCAUGUGUAGAGUAUUUAUACAAUGCUCGACAAGUACAACACAUUGCUCAACAAUCUGUUUUUGAUAUGAAUGAAUUCUCUUUGAUGGUUUUUUUUUCCACCUUUUUUUUUUCGAUUUCUUUCAUGAGUUUUAAUAGACAAUUACUUUUAUUGGGAUCUUUUUUCCUACCUUGUUUCAUUUACUUCAUAGAUACUCUUUUUUGUUUCUUGGGAUCUUUUAUUGUGAUAGAAGUUCUAAAGCUUUUCUUAUAAGAAUAUUUUAGAAUAGAAAAAUAGAAAUGAUGGGCCCUUUAUCCAUUUUCUACAGCUUGAUUCCAGGGAUUUGCCCACCUUUUCUAUUUUAGAAUAGAAAAAUAGAAAGCAAUUGCUAUCUUACAGUUUGAUUAUUUCAGCUACAUGUCUAUCUUGCUCUCCUGCAGUUCAGUUAUUUAAGGAUUGGCUUACCCCCUGUGCCUCAUCUCAAGAUGGGGAAUUGUUGUUGUAUGGUUGAACUCUGAUGUUAUCUCUUCCUUGCGAUAACAUGGUUGUGAGCUGAAGAUACUUAUGACUGGCUCUAUGUAAAAGAUUAUAAUUUGGAAGGCAGUGUUUGGGCGUCCCUGUAUGUUAUGCCAAAAGUAUGUCUGAUGGUCAUACGGCGAUCAUCAUGGAUCCCCUUAAGUGAAGGUAGUGAUGUAUUGCACUGAUUGUGGAACUAUUGGGGCCAUGAUUCUCAGUUGCCAAGUAAGUUAUAAUGUCGUUUAUGUUCAGCUA